rnacentral:tRNA from 1 species
GGGCGUGUAGUUCAGUGGUUCAUCAUUUUUAAGAAAUGAUGCACUCAAGAACGUUCGCUUGGCAUGCGAAAGGCCGCGAGUUCAAUUCUCGCCACGUCCACCA